AGAGUUUGAUCCUGGCUCAGGAUGAACAUUGGCGGCAUGCUUAACACAUGCAAGUCGCACGCUCCGCAAGGAGAGUGGCGCACGGGUGCGUAACACGUAGGUCAUCUGCCCAGAAGUGGGGAAUAACCGCGAGAAAUCGUGGCUAAUACCGCAUGAGCUUGGAGACAAGGAAAGCAGUAAUGCGCUUUUGGAGGAGCCUGCGGCCUAUCAGGUAGUUGGUGGGGUAAGAGCCUACCAAGCCGAUGACGGGUAGCUGACCUGAGAGGGUGGUCAGCCACAGGGGAACUGAGACACGGUCCCCACUCCUACGGGAGGCAGCAGUGAGGAAUAUUGGUCAAUGGGCGCAAGCCUGAACCAGCAAUGCCGCGUGUGGGAUGAAGGCUUUCGGGUCGUAAACCACUUUUAAGAGGGAGUAGCAAGGAGAGUACCUCUUGAAUAAGUCACGGCUAACUACGUGCCAGCCGCCGCGGUAAUAC
rnacentral:rRNA from 1 species